rnacentral:rRNA from 1 species
AACGCCCGGCUCCAUUCCGAACCCGGAAGCUAAGCCCUUCAGCGCCGAUGGUACUGCACUGGUGACGGUGUGGGAGAGUAGGACGCAGCCGGAC